CUGAUUGUCACUGGGUAUUGUCUGGCCUAGGAAUGAAAGUGACUGGGCAGAAAAGGCCUUUUUAGCGCCAUCUGUCUCCUGGAGUCCUGGUCGCUCACUGUGCUUUACCAAAAAAAAACAAUUAAUUAGUUCAUAGGCUGGCGAGGAGUCUCCUCUGGUUUGGGGCCAAGAAGCCACCUGCCCCACUGGGCUCUGUCUUUUUCCUGGAACCCUUCCUGCUUCUUUGUUCAGCCUCCCACGGGACAGCGAACUUCAGUGGCAGCGCUGGUCUUGCUGACCCACCCUCCCGACUUGGACAGGGCCUGCCUGGCAUGGCAGGUGCUGUGAAGGAAGCCACAGGAUGGAAACCCUGAUGCUCUGCAGACAGAAACAGCUGCCGGGCUUGGGGACCUGGCUGGAUGUCUUCCCCCUGUGCCUCUGUUUCUCCAUCUGUAUAGUGGGAUGGCUGGCAGGGCCCAGGCCCCUCCCACCAUCCAUUCCAGGGCUGCUGCUCUCUGAAAAUACAUCCAAGAGCACAGGUACCUGGACGUGGUAUUCCUGGAUGGUUCUCAGCACGUGUUCCAGCAGGGCAAGAAGGGCCCAAUCCAAGAGACUGCAGCAGCCCUGGAAAGCCAGUGUUUACAGUGGAUAAGGACCACAAAAGAACAAGAAGGAACAUCCCUCCAGGAUUGUCCAUUUCCACCAGCGGUGUACGAGCAUUGCCACAGCUCCGCAGCUUCCUCGACGCUCAGCAUGGCUGACGUUUCCAAUUUCAACGACUCUGGUAUGUGAGUAGUGGCACUCACUGUGGUUUACAGGAUUCUCUCAAAACCUAAAUCUAACUGUGACACUCCCGUCUGCAAACUCUCCCACAUCAGGGACAAUUUGAACAACAAACUAAAGAAUGAUAGUAAAUAAAUUAUAAUCCAUAAAUAAUAGUCCACGAGUCCACACUUACGUACACACAUACACACACACAUAAGAAGGGUUAGCCGGGUGCAGUGGUUCAC
rnacentral:lncRNA from 10 species